rnacentral:sRNA from 1 species
AAGAGGUUCACCGUAUACCAGCUCUGCC